UACGUAGGUGGCAAGCGUUACUCGGAAUCACUAGGCGUAAAGCGCAGGUAGGCGGUUCGGUAAGUCCUUUGUGAAAGCUCCCGGCUUAACUGGGAGAGGCCAAGGGAAACUACCGGGCUAGAGUGUGGUAGGGGAAACUGGAAUUCCUGGUGUAGCGGUGAAAUGCGUAGAUAUCAGGAGGAACACCUAUGGCGAAAGCAGGUUUCUGGACCAUUUCUGACGCUGAGACACGAAAGCGUGGGUAGCAAACAGG
rnacentral:rRNA from 1 species